rnacentral:misc_RNA from 1 species
UCAUUCUCUCUCUCAUUUGCACUCCGACGGCUGUCCGCACCGUUUCCACUCUACUCCGACUCACGAAUUGCGGACCUCUAAAUUAUCGAAGAGCAGCCAAAAUGUCUCGAAAAGGACUAAUGGAGCAGGACCUGAGCAAGUUGGAUGUAACACAGUUGCAUCCACUUUCUCCCGAAGUGAUUUCUCGUCAGGCUACGAUCAACAUUGGUACCAUUGGCCAUGUGGCUCACGGAAAGUCAACAGUUGUAAAAGCUAUAUCUGGUGUGCAGACUGUCCGUUUUAAGAAUGAGCUAGAGCGUAACAUUACAAUCAAGCUUGGAUAUGCUAAUGCCAAGAUUUACAAAUGUGAAGAAGAGCGCUGCCCUAGACCCAUGUGCUAUAAGGCAUAUGGAAGUGGAAAAGAAGACAGCCCCAUGUGUGAUGUCCCUGGUUUUGAGAGCUGCAAGAUGAAAUUGCUGAGACACGUGUCCUUUGUUGAUUGUCCUGGUCAUGAUAUUCUCAUGGCUACGAUGCUUAAUGGAGCAGCCAUUAUGGAUGGAGCAUUACUUCUAAUUGCUGCUAACGAGAGCUGUCCCCAACCUCAAACUUCUGAACAUUUAGCUGCUGUAGAAAUUAUGCGUCUCCAACAUAUAAUAAUUCUUCAAAAUAAGGUUGAUCUGGUUCAGGAAAAUGUUGCUAUCAACCAGCAUGAGGCAAUUCAGA